AUUGAACGCUGGCGGCAUGCUUUACACAUGCCAGUCGAGCGGUAACAGGCGUUCGUUUCCUCACGAGUGGUGGACGGGGGCGGAAUGCAUCGGAACGUACCCCGAGGUUGUGGGUAACGCAUCGCAUGGUGUGCUAAUACCGCAUGCGAUCUGAGGAUGAAAACGGGGGAGCGCGCAGCAAUGUUUGGCCUCGCGCCUUUCGAGCAGCCGAUGUCGCAUUAGCUAGUUGGUUGGGUAAAGGCCUACCAAGGCGACGAUCCGUAGCUGAUCUGAGAGGAUGAUCAGCCACACUGGAACUGAGACACGGCCCAGACUCCUACGGGAGGCAGCAGUAGGGAAUCUUGGACAAUGGGCGCAAGCCUGAUCGAGCAAUGCCGCGUGCGGGAAGAAGGCCUUCGGGUUGUAAACCGCUGUUGGCAGGAACGAAAAGAUGUCCGAGAAUACCGGCAGCUAAUGACGGUACCUAAAGAAUAAGCAACGGCUAACUACGUG
rnacentral:rRNA from 1 species